rnacentral:rRNA from 1 species
GCGGCAAAAGCUCAAAUUUGAAAUCUGGCUCCAUGCGGAGCCCGAGUUGUAAUUUGGAGUGGACACUUCGGGUGCGGCCACGGCAUAAGUUCCUUGGAACAGGACGUCAUAGAGGGUGAGAAUCCCGUCUUUGGCUGCUGGACCGCGCCCAUGCGAAGUUCCUUCGACGAGUCGAGUUGUUUGGGAAUGCAGCUCUAAGUGGGUGGUAAAUUUCAUCUAAAGCUAAAUAUUGGCCGGAGACCGAUAGCGCACAAGUAGAGUGAUCGAAAGGUUAAAAGCACCUUGAAAAGGGAGUUAAAUAGCACGUGAAAUUGUUGAAAGGGAAGCGCUUGCAACCAGACUCGGUCGUGGGGGCUCAGCGGGCAUGCGUGCCCGUGUACUCCCCCAUGCUCCGGGCCAGCAUCAGUUCUGGCGGUUGGUUAAAGGCCUCUGGAAUGUAUCGUCCUCCGGGACGUCUUAUAGCCAGGGGCGCAAUGCGGCCAGCCGGGACUGAGGAACGCGCUUCGGCACGGAUGCUGGCAUAAUGGUUGUAAGCGGCCCGUCUUGAAACACGGACCAAGGAGUCUAACAUCCACGCGAGUGUUCGGGUGUCAAACCCGUGCGCGCAGUGAAAGCGAACGGAGGUGGGAGCCCGCAAGGGUGCACCAUCGACCGAUCCUGAAGUCUUCGGAUGGAUUUGAGUAAGAGCGUGGCUGUUGGGACCCGAAAGAUGGUGAACUAUGCCUGAAUAGGGGUGAAGCCAGAGGAAACGUCUGGUGGAGGCUCGCAGCGGUUCUGACGUGCAAAUCGAUCGUCAAAUUU